AGGGGGUUUGGAUCAUGGCUCAGAAUGAACGCUGGCGGCGUGCCUAAGACAUGCAAGUCGAACGAGAACAUUUUCUUCGGAAAAUUAGUACAGUGGCGCACGGGUGAGUAAGGCUUAGGUAACCUACCUUUUUGCUGGGGACAACAGGAGGAAACUCCUGCUAAUACCGAAUAACCUGCAAGGUUCUGCGGAACUUUUCAGGAAAGGCGCAAGCCGCAAAAAGAGGGGCCUGAGUACCAUUAGCUUGUUGGUGGGGUAAAAGCCUACCAAGGCGACGAUGGUUAGCUGGUCUGAGAGGAUGAUCAGCCACACUGGUACUGGAACACGGACCAGACUCCUACGGGAGGCAGCAGUUAGGAAUUUUGCGCAAUGGGGGAAACCCUGACGCAGCAACGCCGCGUGAGUGAGGAAGGCCUUAGGGUUGUAAAGCUCUUUCAGUGGAGAAGAUAAUGACGGUAUCCACAGAAGAAGGACCGGCUAACUCCGUGCCAGCAGCCGCGGUAAUACGGAGGGUCCAAGCGUUAUUCGGAUUUACUGGGCGUAAAGCGCGCGUAGGCGGUUUGGUAAGUUUGAUGUGAAAGCCCUGGACUCAAUCCAGGAAGUGCAUUGAAUACUGCCAGACUAGAGUACAGGAGGGGUGAGCGGGAAUUCCAGGUGUAGAGGUGAAAUUCGUAGAUAUCUGGAGGAACAACGGCGGCGAAGGCGGCUCACUGGACUGUAACUGACGCUAAGGUGCGAAAGUGUGGGGUAGCGAACAGGAUUAGAUACCCUGGUAGUCCACACCGUAAACGAUGAAUACUUAGGUG
rnacentral:rRNA from 1 species